ACCUAAGAGAUUAGGCGUUCCCUUCGGGGACGGAAUGACAGGUGGUGCAUGGUUGUCGUCAGCUCGUGUCGUGAGAUGUUGGGUUAAGUCCCGCAACGAGCGCAACCCUUAUUGUCAGUUGCCAGCAUUUAGUUGGGCACUCUGGCGAGACUGCCGGUGACAAACCGGAGGAAGGUGGGGAUGACGUCAAAUCAUCAUGCCCCUUAUGACCUGGGCUACACACGUGCUACAAUGGACGGUACAACGAGCAGCGAGACCGCGAGGUCAAGCGAAUCUCUAAAAACCAUCCUCAGUUCGGAUUGCAGGCUGCAACUCGCCUGCAUGAAGCUGGAAUCGCUAGUAAUCGCGGAUCAGCACGCCGCGGUGAAUACGUUCCCGGGUCUUGUACACACCGA
rnacentral:rRNA from 1 species